CGAUCGCUGCGGGCCAAACCGGCCGGGCCCUUCGGAGCGAUCCCGAGCGCAUCGAAGAUGGGGCUGUAGCUCAGCUGGGAGAAGCACCUGCUUUGCAAGCAGGGGGUCAGCGGUUCGAUCCCGCUCAGCUCCACCAUUUUUGGAACUGGGGCGCCCGACGACCGGCGACGGCCUUUGGCCUUGCGAAGCCUUGCUUCGUUUGAGUGCCAAAGCGUGGGUUGGAUAUCCUUGGAGGAAAAAUAGGUUUGCAUCGUCUCCAUCGUGAGACGGAUGCCUGUUCUGCUUACAAUGUGAAGAGGAGAUAUGUCUGGAAGCUUCCAGGUGUUGAUGGUGAUUGAAAGGUUGCCUGAGACGUUCGAGCCCAGUCCCGAAGAAGCCAUGGAUGGUCUAGCCGACCGGAAGUGGAAGAGGGUUUGGAGGUAGGAGGGAAGUUUUGUCCUUGAGGCAUGAUCGUUGUUGGGGUGUUUUUUGGAACGCGCCUCUGAUGGUCGUGUCGGAUUGGUGUUGCCUGACCGCGCAUCACCGGACAGAUCUCGAGAAGCUGGUCUUAAGAUAUGGCCUCGAAGUCGCUCGGCGUGACUUUUGUGAGGACCAUAUCGAACACGUCGAUGGCAUUGUUAGAAAGCGCGAUUGUAAAAGGUAAUCGCGCAUAGCUGGUCUGGCGACUGCAAGGUCUCCGGAUUUUGGCUGCUGCGGCAUACGAAAGUUGCCCGGAUGGCCAGAUUUGGCACCCCUUCGAGCGCAAGCGAGGAGGAUAGGUUUGCCAAAUCCAGCAAAGACGAUGAGCAUUGGCAAUGAGAACGAUCAAGUGAAAGAAGGGCAUUUGGUGGAUGCCUUGGCAUGCACAGGCGAUGAAGGACGUGAUACGCUGCGAAAAGCCGUGGGGAGCUGCG
rnacentral:misc_RNA from 1 species